rnacentral:tRNA from 3 species
GGGGGCAUAGCUCAGUUGGUAGAGCGAUACGUUCGCAACGUAUAGGUCAUGGGUUCGAUUCCCACUGUCUCCACCA